GAGUCACGCGCGAAUCUCCGGGCAAAAUGCGCGAUUUAAUUAAUUCGUAUCGCGCCGCGGACUCGGCCGCAAAAAAGGCUCGAGCCGGGCGAUAAAUCGUUUUUGUCCGUGCCUCGUCGAUCGUAAACAACGCGCCUCUUCUCGGGAGAGUUGGCGGAGAAUCAACCCGUCGAUUUCACGGGUUUUCAAUUUUAUGCUUCCGAAAGAAAAAUUCUGAAUGCGCAAAUGUUAUAUGUACUUAUUUAUACAAGAAAUCCGUGAAUUUGACGGGUUAAUUUAUAUUAUUGCGAAAUAACAAUGAAUAAGAAAAAACAACACGAAGCAAAUGACGACUGUUUAGCAAUAAAUACGUGAUCAAACAAAUUGUUUAUAAUUGUGAUAUUAUAACAAAUAAUCCUUUCAACGGUGAAUUUUGCAGAGAAAAAAAGUGAUUUUUGUAUUUUCAAAAUUCUAUCCAAAAAAAUAUACUUUUUUACGUUUAUAUUAUUAUUAAUCCAAGUCUUCAAAAGACAUGGAAUUGAUAAAAAAGAAUAAUGAAGCAUAAAUGAAAAUCAAUCUGGAUCGGAUUUUUGAUAAACGAAUUAGCAAAAGCAAGGAAAAAUUUGACAAUAUAAACGAAAUUGAAGAUUCUGACGACAAGUGAGAAUGAAAAUUAUCACAAUAUGUAUAAAAGAAAAAGAAUGCGUAUUAUUUCAGAUAUUGAAAGCGAAAGUGAAAUAAAAGAUGCCGAUAAUGAAGAAAAUAAACAAACUUCGUGUGUUUUACAAUUGUUCUUAGAUUUGCCAGUCAUCAAUGCAUUAUUACACAAAGAGACCACUGACGUACGAAACAAAAUUCGAAAGAAUUUUCUCUUUCAAUUAGCCGAAGAAUUGGGCAGUGACCAUCACGACGAACGAAAUACUAGCUCCAAUUCAGUGUCUGACUAUAUUUGCAUUAAAUCUAACGAGUAUGCAUGCGGAAAGUAUACAUCCAAGAUAUUUUUUACACGCGUAAAAAAUAUAUUGAAGACAACGUAAGUAAAAGUCCAUAGAUUUUAAAUAAAUAAUUUACAGAAAAUUUUAAAGGAUUUCAAUAAAAAAAUAUAUAUAUAUAA